UAUUGGACAAUAACAGCCAUCGCUUUUGGGGGACCACAUCUAGAUUAUGUGGCUAACGCUGAAGAAAACACUUCCAGUCGGCUGCGAAACCUCAUGUAAUAUCGGCACACCGCGCGAGCGACUCCCUGCGACCAGGAAAGGUGAUUUCGAAGCCUGUGCGCGCGAUGACAGUUUAGACGACAAAAACCGCUGGUGUGACGUGUGAACAGACACCAUGGCCACACAGGAGCCAUCCCCUCCCUCGUCCAUGGAGAGCAAUAAACCCGGCUUCCCCAAAAAGAUCCUGGGCAACAAGCUGGAGGACAAACACCUGUGCAACUGCUGCCACAACAUACUCAGACGACCCUUUCAAGCCCAGUGUGGACAUCGCUUCUGUUCCUACUGCUUCAACAGGACUGUGAGUAAUGGACCCCAGAAAUGCAGCGCCUGCAUCAAAGAGGAUAUUUUUGAAGAUCCU